AUUGGCAUGUUGUGGCGUAUCUA
rnacentral:siRNA from 1 species